UGGUCAAGUUAUUAAGGGUGCAGGGCGGAUGCCUUGGCACUAGGAGCCGAUGAAGGACGUGAUAAGCUGCGAUAAGCUUCGGGGAGUUGCACGUAAACUUUGAUCCGAAGAUUUCCGAAUGAGGAAACUCACUUAGAGUAAUGUCUAAGUAUCAUUAAGUGAAUACAUAGCUUAAUGAGGGGAACUCAGGGAACUGAAACAUCUAAGUACCUGAAGGAAGAGAAAGAAAUUCGAUUCCGUAAGUAGCGGCGAGCGAACGCGGAUUAGCCCAAACCAAUAAAGUUUUCUUUAUUGGGGUUGCGGACAUAUCAUAACGAAGAGGUAUCGUAAUUGAAGAGGUUUGGAAAGACCCACCACAGAAGGUAAUAGUCCUGUAUGUUAAACGAGAAGACUUCAGAUAUGAUCCAGAGUACCACGGGACACGUGAAACCCUGUGGGAAGCAGGAGGGACCACCCUCCAAGGCUAAAUACUACCUAGUGACCGAUAGCGUAUAGUACCGUGAGGGAAAGGUGAAAAGAACCCCGGGAGGGGAGUGAAAUAGAACCUGAAACCCUGCACUUACAAGCUGUGGAAGCACAUUUCUUGUGUGACCGCGUACUUUUUUGUAGAACGGGCCAACGAGUUACGUUAAGUAGCAAGGUUAAGCACUUAAGGUGUGGAGCCGUAGCGAAAGCGAGUUUUAACUGAGCGUUCAGUUACUUGACGUAGACCCGAAACCGGGCGACCUACCCAUGAGCAGGAUGAAGCGAAAGUAAAAUUUCGUGGAGGUCCGAACCCACGAGCGUUGAAAAGCUCGGGGAUGACUUGUGGGUAGCGGUGAAAUUCCAAUCGAGCCCGGAGAUAGCUGGUUCUCCCCGAAAUAGCUUUAGGGCUAGCCUCAAGGUGAGAGAUACGGAGGUAGAGCACUGAAUGUCCUAGGGGGUAUUGCACCUACCGAAGACUAUCAAACUCCGAAUGCCGUCAUCUUAUACUUGGGAGUCAGACUGUGGGUGAUAAGAUUCAUAGUCGAAAGGGCAACAGCCCAGAUCGUCAGCUAAGGUCCCUAAAUGUAAGUUAAGUGGUAAAGGAUGUGGGAUUGCACAGACAACCAGGAUGUUGGCUUAGAAGCAGCCACUCAUUCAAAGAGUGCGUAAUAGCUCACUGGUCGAGUGAUCCUGCGCCGAAGAUUUCCGGGGCUAAAACUUACUACCGAAGCUACGGCAUCAGUAAUGAUGGGUAGGGGAGCUUCCCAUACGGGUUGAAGCAUGACCGUAAGGACAUGUGGACAGUAUGGGAGUGAGAAUGUUGGCAUGAGUAGCGAGAUGUGGGUGAGAAUCCCACAGGCCGUAAACCCAAGGUUUCCAGGGGAAGGUUCGUCCGCCCUGGGUUAGUCGGGACCUAAGCUGAGGCCGAAAGGCGUAGGUGAUGGACAACAGGUUGAUAUUCCUGUACUACCGAUAACCGUUUGAGAGAAGGGAUGACACAGUAGGAUAAGCUAAGCACACUGUUGGUUAUGUGUGCCCAAGCAUUGAGGCAGUCAAAGUAGGCAAAUCCGCUUUGAUAAUGCUGGGAUGUGAUGGGGAGCGAAAUUUAGUAGCGAAGUAGCUGAUUUCACACUGUCAAGAAAAGUCUCUAUCGAGGUUAAAGGUACCCGUACCGCAAACCGACACAGGUGGGUGAGGAGAGUAUCCUAAGGCCAGCGAGAGAACUGUUGUUAAGGAACUCGGCAAAAUGACCCCGUAACUUAGGGAUAAGGGGUGCCACCAUCAGGUGGCCGCAGAGAAUAGGCCCAAGCGACUGUUUACCAAAAACAUAGGUUUCUGCUAAGUCGCAAGACGAUGUAUAGGAGCUGACGCCUGCCCGGUGCUGGAAGGUUAAGGGGAUCUGUUAGAGCAAUCGAAGCAGUGAACUUAAGCCCCAGUAAACGGCGGCCGUAACUAUAACGGUCCUAAGGUAGCGAAAUUCCUUGUCGGGUAAGUUCCGACCCGCACGAAAGGCGUAACGAUUUGGGCACUGUCUCAACAACAGACUCGGUGAAAUUGUAAUUCCGGUGAAGAUGCCGGAUACCUGCGACAGGACGGAAAGACCCCAUGGAGCUUUACUGUAGCUUGACAUUGGGUUUUGGUACUACAUGUACAGGAUAGGUGGGAGGCUUUGAAACCAGGACGCCAGUUUUGGCGGAGCCAUCCUUGGGAUACCACCCUUGUAGUACUGGGACUCUAACCAUAGGCCAUGAAUCUGGUCUUGGGACACUGUCAGGUGGGCAGUUUGACUGGGGCGGUCGCCUCCCAAAAAGGUAACGGAGGCGCUCAAAGGUUCUCUCAGUACGGUCGGAAAUCGUACGUAGAGUGUAAAGGCAAAGAGAGCUUGAUUGCAAGACAUACAGGUCGAGCAAGGAUGAAAAUCGGACUUAGUGAUCCGGUGGUUCUGCGUGGAAGGGCCAUCGCUCAACGGAUAAAAGCUACCCUGGGGAUAACAGGCUUAUCUCCCCCAAGAGUCCACAUCGACGGGGAGGUUUGGCACCUCGAUGUCGGCUCAUCACAUCCUGGGGCUGUAGUAGGUCCCAAGGGUUGGGCUGUUCGCCCAUUAAAGUGGUACGCGAGCUGGGUUCAGAACGUCGUGAGACAGUUCGGUCCCUAUCCGUCGCAGGCGUAGGAAAUUUGAGAAGACCUGUCCUUAGUACGAGAGGACCGGGAUGGACGUACCUCUGGUGUACCAGUUGUUCUGCCAAGGGCAUGGCUGGGUAGCUAUGUACGGAAUGGAUAAGCGCUGAAAGCAUCUAAGCGCGAAGCCAACUUCAAGAUAAGAUUUCCCACCGCAAGGGUAAGACCCCAGAAAGACUAUCUGGUUGAUAGGUCGAAGGUGUAAGUGCAGCAAUGUAUUUAGCUUAUCGAUACUAAUAGGUCGAGGACUUGACCAAUAUUAUUUGAUGUUCACUU
rnacentral:rRNA from 1 species